rnacentral:rRNA from 1 species
AUUGAACGCUGGCGGCAGGCUUAACACAUGCAAGUCGAACGAGUGGCGGACGGGUGAGUAAUGGUUGGGAAUCUAGCUCAUGGAGGGGGAUAACUACGGGAAACUGUAGCUAAUACCGCAUACCAUAGGAUGAGCCCAAGUGGGAUUAGGUAGUGGGUGAGGUAAAGGCUCACCAGGCAGACGAUCUCUAGCUGGUCUGAGAGGUGGACCGGCCACAUUGGAACUGAGACACGGCCCAGACUCCUACGGCAGGCAGCAUUGGGGAAUAUUGCGCAAUGGGGGAAACCUGACGCAGCCAUGCCGCGUGAAUGAAGAAGGCCUUCGGGUUGUAAAGUUCUUUCGGUAGGGAGGCGUUACCUACAGAAGAAGCACCGGCUAACUCCGUGCCAGCAGCCGCGGUAAUAC